UACGUAGGGGGCAAGCGUUGUCCGGAUUUAUUGGGCGUAAAGAGCGUGUAGGCGGUCAGGUAGGUCCGUUGUGAAAACUCGAGGCUCAACCUCGAGACGCCGAUGGAAACCAUCUGACUAGAGUCCGGAAGAGGAGAGUGGAAUUCCUGGUGUAGCGGUGAAAUGCGUAGAGAUCAGGAAGAACACCCGUGGCGAAGGCGGCCCACUGGGCCGGUGCUGACGCUGAGGCGCGAAGGCGUGGGGAGCGAACGGG
rnacentral:rRNA from 1 species